GUGCUUGUUUCAGGAGCACAUCUACUAAAAUUGGAAUGACACAAAGAUUAGCAUGGCCCCUGUGCAAGGAUCUCACACACAUCCCCAAAAUCAGUUCAGUCUGA